CCUGGUGGUCUAGUGGUUGAGAUUCAGUGUUCUCACCACUGUGACCUGGGUUCAAUUCCUGGUCAGG
rnacentral:tRNA from 1 species